CAGCACACAGUCUCACCAUAUCUUUGUCACGUACUCAAAUAUUUACGUGUACCAUCCAAACUCAUCCACUUCACACUUUCAUUUACAGACAAAACUCACAUUUCUUUUAAAGUAUCUUUCCUUGUUAGUAUUAUUUUUCAAUUUUCUCAGUCUCACUCCCACUUCGCUUCGCAUGUUGUCACUAUGAACUUAAGGCAGCGUCCCCCACUCACGCGCGGCCGUAGCAUCCGUUACGGGCCGCCUCCGCCGCAACAACCAAACGUCUACAACAUAAUCCCCAUCCACAACCUCUUGACUGACCACCCAUCUCUCCGGUACCCAGAAGUACGCGCCGCCGCAUCAGCCUUACGCGCCACCGGAGACUUGAGGAAACCACCAUUCGUUCCAUGGGACCCAAACAACGACCUCCUGGACUGGCUUGGGAUCAUGUUCGGUUUCCAAAAAGACAACGUAAAGAACCAAAGGGAAAACCUGGUCCUCCACUUAGCCAACUCUCAAAUGCGAGUCCAACCCGCUCCGACCCUACUGGACGUCCUCGAAGCCAGCGUCCUCCGUCGAUUCCGCCGCAAGUUGCUCCAAAACUACACUUCUUGGUGCUCCUACCUCGGCCGGAAAUCUCAAGUCUCGGUCUCCCAUCGCCGCAACGGCACCGGAAACGCCGAGACGAACAGUCUCCGCCGCGAGCUUCUCUACGUGUCGCUUUAUCUCCUAAUCUGGGGUGAGUCUGCUAACCUUCGUUUCACUCCUGAGUGUAUUUGUUACAUAUUUCAUCACAUGGCUAUGGAGUUGAACUUUGUUUUAGAUGAGAAAAUAGACCCCAAUACGGGUCAGUCGUUCUUGCCUUCCAUAUAUGGGGAUUGUGCGUUUUUGAAGUGUGUGGUAAUGCCUAUAUAUGACACAAUUAAGCUCGAGGUUGAGAGUAGUAGAAAUGGCACGGCCCCGCAUUCGGCGUGGCGGAAUUACGAUGAUAUCAAUGAGUAUUUUUGGAGUAGGAGGUGUUUCCAAAAGCUGAAAUGGCCUCUCGAUUUGUCAUGUAAUUUCUUCGCUACUACGCCUAAGGAGAAACGGGUUGGGAAGACGGGGUUUGUGGAGCAAAGGUCUUUUUGGAAUGUGUUUAGGAGUUUUGAUAAGGUGUGGGUGUUGUUGAUACUGUUUUUACAGGCUAUGAUUAUAGUUGCCUGGGAAGAUGGUUCGACGUUGACUGCGUUGAAGGGUAGGGAUUUGCAGGUGAAGUUGUUAACUGUGUUUAUCACGUGGAGCGGGCUGAGGGUUUUGCAAGCGGUGCUUGAUGCCGGGACUCAGUAUAGUUUGGUUUCUAAGGAGACAAUGUGGCUUGGGGUUAGGAUGACGUUGAAGUUCAUGGUGGCAUUGACGUGGAUGGUGGUGUUUGGGGUGUUCUAUGGGAGGAUUUGGAGUCAGGAGAGUAGCGAUGGGAAUUGGUCGGCCGAGGCAAAUAGGAGGAUUGUUGUUUUUCUUGAGGUUGUUCUGGUUUUCUUGUUGCCAGAGUUGUUGGCAUUGGCUUUGUUUAUUGUUCCAUGGAUUCGCAAUUUAUUGGAGGAAUUGGAUUGGCCUGUGAUCUACUUGCUGACAUGGUGGUUUCAUACACGAUUGUUUGUGGGUCGUGCGUUGAGGGAAGGGCUUGUGAAUAAUUUCAAGUAUACGGUGUUUUGGAUCCUUGUAUUGGCUUCCAAAUUCACUUUCAGUUAUUUCCUUCAGAUCAAGCCACUGGCUGCCCCAACGAAGGCCCUUUUGAAACAACAGAAUGUAGUUUACAGAUGGCAUGAAUUUUUCAAUAACACCAACAGAGUAGCAGUUGUGUUGUUGUGGGUUCCUGUGGUGUUGAUUUAUUUGAUGGAUUUGCAAAUUUGGUAUUCGAUUUAUUCCUCCCUUGUUGGUGCAACAAUUGGGCUGUUUUCGCAUUUGGGUGAGAUCAGAAAUUUUGGACAACUAAGGCUUAGGUUUCAGUUUUUUGCUAAUGCAAUGCAAUUUAAUUUCAUGCCAGAGGAGCAUCCGCUAAACCCCAAGCUGACACUGGUGAAGAAGCUUCGUGAUGCUAUCCGCCGGUUGAAGCUGAGGUACGGACUUGGUAAGCCCUACAAUAAGAUAGAAUCAAGCCAAGUGGAAACUACCUGGUUUGCCUUGAUUUGGAAUGAGAUCAUUGUAACUUUCAGGGAAGAAGAUCUCAUCAAUGACCGAGAACUUGAGCUCAUGGAAUUGCCACCUAAUUGUUGGAACAUUAGGGUUAUUCGAUGGCCAUGUGUCCUCCUCUGCAAUGAGCUGCUGCUUGCUCUCAGUCUGGCAAUAGAGUUAGCAAAAGAACCCGACCAGUUGCUUUGGUUGAGGAUAUGCAAGAGUGAAUACCGGCGGUGUGCUGUUAUUGAAGCUUAUGAUAGCAUUAAGUAUUUGCUUCUUAUGAUAGUUAAAGAUGGCUCGGAUGAAUGCUUAAUUAUUGAAAAUUUAUUCAAGGAGAUAGAUAAAGAGAUUCAGAAUGGAAAGCUCACAGUGACGUACAAGAUGGAUGUGCUAGAAAAAAUUCAUGCUAAGCUAAUAUCACUUGUUGAGCUGCUGAUGCAGCAGAAUAAAGAUCUGAGUAAGGCAGUGAAUAUACUGCAGGCCUUGUAUGAACUUUCCGUCAGAGAAUUUCCAAAGGUAAAGAAGUCCAUUGAGCAAUUGAGAGAGGAAGGUCUGGCACCUCGUAGUCCAGCCACCGAUGCAGGGUUGCUUUUUGAGAACUCUGUUGAGUUCCCUGAUGAUGAUGAUGCUACCUUACUUAAGACCCUACGUCGUUUGCAUACUAUUCUUACUUCUAGAGACUCCAUGCACUACAUCCCAAGGAAUCUUGAGGCAAGAAGGCGCAUUGCUUUCUUUAGCAAUUCACUAUUUAUGAAUAUGCCCCGUGCUCCGCAUGUUGAAAAAAUGAUGGCUUUCAGUGUUCUCACGCCUUACUAUGAUGAAGAAGUUCUUUUCAGCCUAUUGAAUCUUCGACAUGAAAAUGAAGAUGGCAUUUCCAUCAUGUUUUAUUUGCAAAAAAUCUAUCAAGAUGAGUGGGAUAAUUUUUUGGAGCGGAUGCAAAGAGAGGGUGUGAAGGAUGACGAUGAUCUCUGGAAGACAAAGUCAAGGGAUACUCGACUUUGGGCAUCGUACAGAGGCCAAACUUUGUCCCGCACUGUGAGAGGAAUGAUGUAUUAUUAUAGGGCUCUUAAGAUGCUUGCCUUUCUAGAUUCUGCAUCUGAGGUGGACAUAGAGGGACCAGGAGGUAUUUCUUCUCUUGUUUCAAUGAACCUAAACAGUGGUUUGAAUGGUGUACACUCAAGUUCUCGGAAUCUUAACCGAGCAACUAGCAGUAUAAGUCUGAUGUUUAAAGGAAAUGAGUAUGGGAGUGCUCUGAUGAAAUUCACUUAUGUGGUCGCCUGCCAGCUGUAUGGGCAACAUAAGGCGAGGGGAGACCACCGUGCUGAAGAGAUAUUAUAUCUGAUGAAACACAAUGAGGCUCUUAGAGUUGCCUAUGUUGAUGAGGUUCACUUGGGGAGGGAAGAGGUGGAGUAUUACUCAGUUCUUGUGAAAUAUGAUCAGCAGCUGCAAAGGGAGGUGGAGAUCUAUCGGAUCAGGUUGCCUGGGCCCUUGAAGAUUGGUGAAGGCAAACCAGAAAAUCAAAACCAUGCCAUAAUCUUCACUCGAGGUGAUGCAAUUCAGACCAUUGACAUGAACCAAGACAAUUGUUUUGAAGAGGCACUCAAGAUGCGGAAUUUGUUGGAGGAAUUCAAUAACUUCUAUGGUAUUAGGAAGCCAACCAUUUUGGGAGUUCGUGAGAAUAUUUUCACUGGUUCAGUAUCUUCACUUGCUUGGUUCAUGUCUGCUCAGGAGACAAGCUUUGUGACCUUGGGCCAGCGUGUUCUGGCAAACCCGUUGAAGGUCAGAAUGCAUUAUGGUCACCCGGAUGUGUUUGACAGGUUCUGGUUCUUGAGUCGGGGUGGAAUCAGCAAGGCUUCUAAAGUGAUAAAUAUCAGUGAGGAUAUAUUUGCUGGCUUCAAUUGCACUCUGCGAGGGGGCAAUGUGACACACCAUGAAUAUUUACAGGUUGGUAAGGGAAGGGAUGUUGGGUUAAAUCAGAUAGCAAUGUUUGAGGCCAAGGUUGCCAGCGGCAAUGGUGAGCAGGUUUUGAGCAGAGAUAUGUAUCGAUUGGGUCAUAGAUUGGACUUCUUCCGAAUGCUUUCAGUUUUCUACACAACAGUUGGGUUCUACUUCAAUUCAAUGUUGGUAGUAAUUACUGUUUAUACAUUUUUGUGGGGCCGCCUUUAUCUUGCCCUCAGUGGUGUUGAAGCAGCAGUGAUGAAAGAUACUAGCAACAAUACAGCCCUUGGUGCAAUCCUUAAUCAGCAGUUUCUCAUCCAGCUCGGUCUCUUUACUGCUCUCCCUAUGAUUGUGGAGAACUCUCUUGAGCAUGGGUUCCUUCCAGCAGUUUGGGACUUCAUAACGAUGCAACUUCAGCUGGCCUCACUUUUUUACACAUUCUCAUUGGGAACUCGUACCCAUUUCUUUGGCCGGACUAUACUUCAUGGUGGUGCAAAGUAUCGAGCCACUGGUCGUGGUUUUGUGGUGCAGCACAAGAGCUUUGCUGAAAACUAUCGACUCUAUGCUCGCAGCCAUUUUGUGAAGGGAAUUGAGCUUGGGGUUAUUUUAAUUGUGUAUUCUUCUCAUAGUGACUUGCCUAAGUAUACUCUUCUUUUUAUAGCCAUGUCAGUAUCUUGCUGGUUUCUUGUUGUGUCGUGGAUAAUGGCCCCUUUUGUAUUUAAUCCUUCUGGAUUUGAUUGGCUGAAUACUGUGUAUGAUUUUGAUGAUUUUAUGAAUUGGUUAUGGUAUAGAGGUGGGGUGUUUUCCCAAGCAGAUCAAAGCUGGGAAACAUGGUGGUAUGAGGAACAGGACCAUCUAAGAACGACCGGUAUUUGGGGCAAACUCUUGGAGAUUAUUUUAGAUCUUCGUUUCUUCUUCUUCCAGUAUGGCAUUGUGUAUCAGCUCCGUAUUACUCAUCAUAAUACAAGUAUAGCCGUUUAUUUACUAUCUUGGAUAGUCAUGGUUGUGGCUCUUGGGAUUUACAUCAUCAUAUCAUAUGCCGGGGACAAGUAUUCCGCAAAAGAGCAUAUUUACUACCGACUUGUUCAGUUCCUUGUCAUUUUCCUUUCAGUACUUGUGAUUGUUAUAUUGCUGAAGUGCACUAGGUUCGAGUUUCUUGAUCUUGUGACAAGCCUCUUGGCAUUCAUCCCCACAGGUUGGGGUAUGAUAUUGAUAGCUCAGGUACUUAGACCCUUUCUGCAGUCCACUGUGGUGUGGGAUACUGUGGUUGCCUUGGCCCGGCUGUAUGACAUGCUGUUUGGGGUGAUUGUCAUGGCUUCUGUGGCAUUGCUGUCAUGGAUGCCUGGAUUCCAGUCAAUGCAAACAAGGAUCCUGUUCAAUGAAGCAUUCAGCAGGGGCCUCGAGAUAUCUCGUCUUCUUUCUGGGAAAAAGUCUAACUGAGAUGUGAUUAGAGGAUCAUUUUGGUUGCCAUCAGAACCUUGUUCUCCUGUGGGAAAUUGAACUCCUACUUGCUGUUUGGCAGUUUUUCAGUACCGGGGUUUUGUAAAUUGUUGCAGCCAUUUUCUAAAUUCAUAGUCUUGAACUCCAAAAGUAAUGAGGUAAUGAGGUUGGAGUAAUUGAAGUAGAUAUCUUGCCCUGAUUUCCACUGACUGAGGUGGUGUAUUUACCAUGCUGUGGCAAUGUUUCGUUUUACGGAUGAUGCAUAUUUUUGAUCUUUGCCCUUCAUGAACUUCAUCUUCCUAAGACUGUUGUAUCUGUUGCAUUCUACAUGCCAUUACUGCUAGAGAUCUUGCGUCGGCACUGCUUAUUAAUUGAUUAACUGAGAAAUAUAUUGGUUAACCACGUUGUUUAUUCAGAGAAUGGUUCUGUAAAUAUUGUCCACGUACAGUUUAGCUUCUGCGCCAGCUAGUUCAUCAAAAUUAUUUUAUCUGGCAGUAUUUAUGGUUUUGUUCAUACAAAUAUUCAGUUCUUGAAUUUGAUUGCUUUAUUCCUGAA